UCCCGUUUAGCUCAGUUGGUAGAGCGCGUCACUAGUAUUUUCGGCUAUGACGAGGUCAGUCGUUCGAGUCGGCUAAUGGGAA
rnacentral:tRNA from 1 species